rnacentral:rRNA from 1 species
AUACGAAUGGGGCAAGCGUUGUUCGGAAUAACUGGGCGUAAAGCGCACGUAGGCGGAAUGUUAAGUUAGAGGUGAAAUCCCAGGGCUCAACCCUGGAACGGCCUUUAAUACUGGCAAUCUAGAGACCGAGAGAGGUGAGUGGAAUUCCGAGUGUAGAGGUGAAAUUCGUAGAUAUUCGGAGGAACACCAGUGGCGAAGGCGGCUCACUGGCUCGGUACUGACGCUGAGGUGCGAAAGCGUGGGGAGCAAACAGGAUUAGAAACCCUAGUAGUCC